UUAGAGUGUGUGUUAGAGUGUGUGUUGGAGUGUUGGUUAGAGUGUGUGUUAGAGUGUGUUGGAGUGUUGGUUAGAGUGUGUGUUAGAGUGUGUUGGAGUGUUGGUUAGAGUGUAUGUUAGAGUGUGUGUUAGAGUGUGUGUUGGAGUGUUGGUUAGGAGUGUGUGUUAGAGUGUGUUGGAGUGUUGGUUAGAGUGUGUGUUAGAGUGUGUGUUGGAGUGUUGGUUAGAGUGUGUGUUAGAGUGUGUGUUAGAGUGUGUUGGAGUGUUGGUUAGAGUGUGCGUUAGAGUGUGUGUUAGAGUGUGUGUUGGAGUGUUGGUUAGAGUGUGUGUUAGAGUGUGUUGGAGUGUUGGUUAGAGUGUAUGUUAGAGUGUGUGUUAGAGUGUGUGUUGGAGUGUUGGUUAGAGUGUGUGUUAGAGUGUGUUGGAGUGUUGGUUAGAGUGUGUGUUAGAGUGUGUGUUGGAGUGUGGUUAGAGUGUGUGUUAGAGUGUGUUGGAGUGUUGGUUAGAGUGUGUGUUAGAGUGUAUGUUAGAGUGUGUGUUGGAGUGUUGGUUAGAGUGUGUGCAAGAGUGUGUGUUAGAGUGUGUGUUGGAGUGUUGGUUAGAGUGUGUGUUGGAGUGUGUUGGAGUGUGUGUUGGAGUGUGUUGGAGUGUGUGUUGAGUGUUGGUUAGAGUGUGUGUUAGAGUGUGUGUUGGAGUGUUAAUUUACUGUGCAGAAGUGUGUGUUAGUGUUUAAAAGUGUGUAUCAGUGUGUAGAAGUGUGCGCUAGCUGCAGAACCUCAGUGGUAUACUAUUUACAGAGCAGAAACAUGACAGUGUGUAUUAUUUGUUUACUAUGAGUACCAGGUUGUUGCACACCGUAACCAUGGAAACUACUAAUGUGUGAAUAAAGUGAUAUGUGGAACUGAUAGUAACACAUGAGGACGUAUGAGGAGAUAAAUAUGUAAAUAUAUAAACAUCAUCACGUCCUCAUAUCAGUUCACAUAUCAGUCUUUAUAUAGAGAGUAUCGGUUCAUUAUAUUACUUAAUGAACAUAAAUUAUCAGGGUUCUGUAUCUGUGAGGGACUGCUCUUAGGGGAGAUGGUUCUGUACCUGUGAGGGGCUGCUCUUAGGGGAGAAGGUUCUGUACCUGUGAGAGACUGCUCUUAGGGGAGAAGGUUCUGUAUAUGUGAGGGACUGCUCUUAGGGGAGAAGGUUCUGUACCUGUGAGAGACUGCUCUUAGGGGAGAAGGUUCUGUACCUGUGAGAGACUGCUCUUAGGGGAGAAG
ensembl:lncRNA